rnacentral:rRNA from 1 species
UACGGAGGGUGCAAGCGUUAUCCGGAUUUACUGGGUUUAAAGGGUGCGUAGGUGGGUCGGUAAGUCAGCGGUGAAAUCUUCGAGCUUAACUCGGAAACUGCCAUUGAUACUAUCGAUCUUGAAUCAUCUAGAGGUAAGCGGAAUAUGUCAUGUAGCGGUGAAAUGCUUAGAUAUGACAUAGAACACCAAUUGCGAAGGCAGCUUACUAUGGAUGCAUUGACACUGAGGCACGAAAGCGUGGGGAUCAAACAGG